UACGUAGGUCCCGAGCGUUGUCCGGAUUUAUUGGGCGUAAAGCGUGCGCAGGUGGUUUAUUAAGUCUGGUGUAAAAGGCAGUGGCUCAACCAUUGUAUGCAUUGGAAACUGGUAGACUUGAGUGCAGAAGAGGAGAGUGGAAUUCCAUGUGUAGCGGUGAAAUGCGUAGAUAUAUGGAGGAACACCGGUGGCGAAAGCGGCUCUCUGGCCUGUAACUGACACUGAGGCUCGAAAGCGUGGGGAGCAAACAGG
rnacentral:rRNA from 1 species